GGGUUCGAUUCUGGCUCAGAUUGAACGCUGGCGGGAUGCUUUACACAUGCAAGUCGAACGGCAGCACGGACUUCGGUCUGGUGGCGAGUGGCGAACGGGUGAGUAAUGUAUCGGAACGUGCCUAGUAGCGGGGGAUAACUACGCGAAAGCGUAGCUAAUACCACGCCGCCCUUCGGGGAAAAGCGAGGACCUUCGGGCCUCGCACUAUUAGAGCAGCCGAUAUCGGAUUAGCUAGUUGGUGGGGUAACGGCUCGCAAGGCGACGAUCCGUAGCUGGUUUGAGAGGACGACCAGCCACACUGGGACUGAGACACGACCCGAACUCUACGGGAGGCAGCAGUGGGGGGCACACGGACAAUGGGAAACCCUGAUCCAGCCAUCCCGCGUGUGCGAUGAAGGCCUUCGGGUUGUAAGCACUUUUGGCAGGGGAAAAACGGCACGGGAUAAUACCCCGUGCAACUGACGGUACCUGCAAGAUAAGCCACCAGCCAACUACGUGCAGCAAUAGCCGCGGUAAUACGUAGAGGGUGCAAGCGUUAAUCCGGAAUUACUGGGCGUAAAGCGUGCGCAGGCGGUUCGGAAAGAAGAUGUGAAAUCCCAGAGCUUAACUUUGAGACUGCAUUUUUAACUACCGAGCUAGAGUGUGUCCAGAGGGGGAAUUGGAAUUCCGUGUUAGCAGUGAAAUGCGUAGAUAUGCGGAGGAACACCGAUGGCGAAGGCAGCCUCCUGGGAUCUUACUGACGCUCAUGCACGAAAGCAUUAAGAACUUCAAACAGGAUUAGAUACCCUGGUAGUCCGCCUAAACGAUGUCGCUAGCUGUUGGGGCCUUCGGGCCUUGGUAGCGCAGCUAACGCGUGAAGUUGUUUUCUGGGAAAUUACGGUCGCAAGAUUAAAACUCAAAGGAAUUGACGGGGACCGCACAAGCGGUGGAUGAUGUCAGGUUAAUUCGAUGCAACGCGAAAACCUUACACCUACCCUUGACAUGUCUGGAAUCCCGAAGAGAUUUGGGAGUGCUCGCCAAAGAACCGGAACACAGGUGCUGCAUGGCUGUCGUCAGCUCGUGUCGUGAGAUGUUGGGUUAAGUCCGCAACGAGCGCAACCCUUGUCAUUAGUUGCUACGAAAGGGCACUCUAAUGAGACUGCCGGUGACAAACCGGAGGAAGGUGGGGAUGACGUCAAGUCCUCAUAGCCCUUGUGGUGAGCUUCCACAUACAAUGGUCGGGACAGAGAAUUCGCCAACCGCGAGGGGAGCCAAUCCCAGAAACCCGAUCGUAGUCCGGAUCGCAGUCUGCAACUCGACUGCGUGAAGUCGGAAUCGCCAAGCAAUCGCGGAUCAGCAUGUCGCGGUGAAUACGUUCCCGGGUCUUGUACACACCGCCCGUCACACCAUGGGAGUGGGUUUUACCAGAAGUAGUUAGCCUAACCGUAAGGAGGGCGAUUACCACGGUAGGAUUCAUGACUGGGGUGAAGUCGUAACAAGGUAG
rnacentral:rRNA from 1 species